rnacentral:rRNA from 1 species
UACGGAGGGUGCAAACGUUGCUCGGAAUCAUUGGGCGUAAAGCGCACGUAGGCGGCGAAGCAAGUCGGGUGUGAAAGCCCUGGGCUCAACCCAGGAAGUGCAUUCGAAACUAUUUCGCUUGAAUCUCGGAGGGGGUCAGAGAAUUCCCGGUGUAGAGGUGAAAUUCGUAGAUAUCGGGAGGAAUACCAGUGGCGAAGGCGCUGACCUGGACGAAGAUUGACGCUGAGGUGCGAAAGCGUGGGGAGCAAACAGG